UUAGACUCACUGAAAGCACUCACUAUAUGUUAUGUAUAUGUAUGGUAACACCGAAGAUCAAUUUCUCCGCUAGCUUGGGGGAACCAACUGCAAACCUUAUGCAGAUGAAUUGCACGAGGAUCAUGCAUCAAAUUGCUGAAAAGCAUUUGCAAAUAUCAUACAUGUGAACUGCUGAGUUUUGGUGCAAAGUUUUGUUAAGAAUUCGCCAAUUUUCACUAAGUUUCAUAAUUUAAUGAACUCAUGACAAUAAUCUUUUCAACAUUACAAAUUUGUUUUCCAAUACAUCAGUUUAUGUGUAAACAGUACCUUUUAACAGUACGGAAUAUUUUGCAAAAUUUAGUCUAGAACAGUUGCAUGAAGUAAGUGGCUAGAUUUACACUAAUGAGUCUAAACUUUUGAUAUGUAGUAUAUACUGAACAUUACAAUAUAUACAUAAAUUAAUA